ensembl:lncRNA
GCUAAACAAACCACCACACGCUCGGCCUCUUGGUGUCAGCUCAUUCAUCUCACUGUGGCUCAGCUUAACUUUCUGUUAGAAACUACUUUUCAGUAGCCACCUGAUGAGCGUAUCCAAGUCUCUCUUAUCUUCCUGAAAGCAUCUUUCGGUUUUUAGCUUCUUGCCUUAUAACUUUAGUGGGAUUGAAUUCUGCAGCACAUUGAGACUCAGAGUGGAGCUGGAAUUUCAUCUUGUCUAUGGAUGGACUAACACAGAGAGCUCUACAUUCAGACUUAGGAUGGUCUUCUGAAAGACACUGAAUGCCCUUCCUCUAACAUCUUCAUGUGCAUAUAGUGGAAAUGAAUGACAUAGAUCCACCUCAUAGGAAGCUCAACACUGUACUGGACUGAGCAUACAGAGCAGAUCUCACAAUGCUUUCAGCAAGGCUGUGUCAAGGCUCCUAGGAAAACCCAGUGAUGGCUGUCUUCAGUGAAGUGAAAUAACUGCAGCACUUGUGAAGACUUGGAAACAGCUUUGGCAACCACCUCCCAGUAAGCGAAGAAGAAUACACAAUCACAACAAGUGGAGGGGAUUAGAGUAAUUAAGAUUUUUAAACAGACUUAUAGUCUUUUUUGUGCCUUAAGUGUUUUUUUGCUUGACACAAAAUAAUUUUGUCCUGAUUAUUUGAGAAGUAUCACACAUGUGAAAGUGCAAAUGAAAAAAGAAGACCAGAGGGGGAAGAAAAAGAGAGGAGUGAAUUAAUAGAAACCUAGCAUUGCUAGGUAUUUGAUAUUAUUUAUUGUAGUGGACUCCUUUAUAAUUUCAUAUAUUAUGUGAGAGAAAAAAACCUCCUUUAUAUGACUGGAAAGAAGACACAGAGUGUCACAAUACUGUGGAGCUUAUUUUUGGCUACAACUUGUCUUGAUUUUAUUUAGCCAUCUAAAAGUUACACCCUUAGCCUGAAGGUGUGAGCCAUAUCACAUACUGAGACAUUGAUCUUUGCAGGAGAUCUGUGCUAUGCUGAACUCCCAUCUUUGUAGAAUGGACUUGGAUGUCCGUCUUUUAGACAGAAACAGAUGCUGACAAAAUGAAAAAUAUAUACAUCCGAGACCCUUUGGUCUAACGUACACAUUAAUCUAUACAUCAUUUUUUUCCUACAUAAAUUAAAUCCUGGUAAUUACUCAAG